AGUGAACGCUGGCGGUAGGCCUAACACAUGCAAGUCGAACGGCAGCACAGUAAGAGCUUGCUCUUACGGGUGGCGAGUGGCGGACGGGUGAGGAAUACAUCGGAAUCUACUUUUUCGUGGGGGAUAACGUAGGGAAACUUACGCUAAUACCGCAUACGACCUACGGGUGAAAGCAGGGGAUCUUCGGACCUUGCGCGAUUGAAUGAGCCGAUGUCGGAUUAGCUAGUUGGCGGGGUAAAGGCCCACCAAGGCGACGAUCCGUAGCUGGUCUGAGAGGAUGAUCAGCCACACUGGAACUGAGACGCGGUCCAGACUCCUACGGGAGGCAGCAGUGGGGAAUAUUGGACAAUGGGCGCAAGCCUGAUCCAGCCAUACCGCGUGGGCGAAGAAGGCCUUCGGGUUGUAAAGCCCUUUUGUUGGGAAAGAAAAGCAGCAGGUUAAUACCCCGCUGUUCUGACGGUACCCAAAGAAUAAGCACCGGCUAACUUCGUG
rnacentral:rRNA from 1 species